AUUGAACGCUGGCGGCAGGCCUAACACAUGCAAGUCGAGCGGAUGAAGGGAGCUUGCUCCUGGAUUCAGCGGCGGACGGGUGAGUAAUGCCUAGGAAUCUUCCUCGUAGUGUGGGAUAACGUCCGGAAACGGGCGCUAAUACCUCAUACGUCCUGCGGGAGAAAGUGGGGGUUCUUCGGACCUCACGCUAUCAGAUGAGCCUAGGUCGUAUUAGGUAGUUGGUGGGUUAAAGGCCUACCAAGGCUAUGAUCCGUAACUGGUCUGAGAGAAUAAUCAGUCACACUGGAACUGGAAAACGGCCCAGACGCCGAGGGGAGGAAGCAGUGGGGAAUAUUGGAAAAUGGGCAAAAGCCGGAGCCAGCCAUGCCGGGUGUGUGAAGAAGGUCUUCGGAUUGUAAAGCACUUUAAGUUGGGAGGAAGGGCAGUAAGUUAAUACCUUGCUGUUUUGACGUUACCAACAGAAUAAGCCACGGCUAACUUCGUG
rnacentral:rRNA from 1 species